rnacentral:lncRNA from 10 species
AAACUCCACCUUCAGGGUCCCCUGUCACCUCUAACUUAGCUAUGGUUGUUACUCAGCAUUAGAUACAUGGGACAACUGGUCUGCAAACCGACUUCAGUGGUUGAUGUGUCUUCUGUACUGACUUCUGCUACGUGCUGGGCCUGUGCAGGGAUCCACCAUCUUGACCCACUGCUGCCCAAGAUACAGACAUGGCUUCUGUUUGUAAGUCCCUAUUAAAUGUUCCCUUGCUCUGUUGCCCUGGCUGGAGUGCAGUGGCAUGAUCAUAGCCCACUGCUCACUGCAGCCUCCCUUGAAGUUCAGGGCUCAAGCAAUCCUCCCACCUCAGCCACUCGAGUAGCUAGAACUACAGGCAUGCGCCACCACGCCCAGCUAAUUUUUAACACUUCUCCAGGCAUCGGCUACAUUUCCAAAAAUGUGGGUGCCAUCUCCCUCUGUGUUUUCUGGAAAGCUAGUGAAAAUGCAAAACCCUGGCCAGGCUGCUGGCUGGUAGCUGGACCUGACUCCAGAACUACUGAAUCGAAAUAUCCAGAAGCAGUACCCAAGAACCUAUAUUUUAAGAAUUUCCACACUGCCCACAGGGGUCCUUGGACACAGAACCG